rnacentral:tRNA from 1 species
GUGAGGUUUUAGUUUAAGUUAAAGCGCCUGGGUUGCAACCAGGUGAUGUGAGUUAAUAUUUUGCAAGCC